rnacentral:tRNA from 1 species
GGUUAUAUAGCUCAGUGGUAAAGCACUUGCCUAGCAUGCAUGAGGCUCUGGGUUCAAUCCCCAUCACCA